AGUGAUCAGUUCCUAUUUGAUAGAGAUAAACACUAACCUUAAUUUAACGUUCAAAUAUCAACUCUCUCUGAACAGUGAAAGCCCUACUCUUCUGUACAUAGCAUCUUCAAUUCCAUGAGGACCCCACGCUUUUCAAACGUGCCUUUAUCGAUAAUUUGCUGAAAUCCUAAUAUCCACAUCACCGUACAUUCAGUCAUCAGUGCACGGUCAUCUGAGGAGCGCAUGAAAAGGCAGGACAGAGGAUGAGUUUUGAACGAAAGAAUCCCUUGGAUUGGAUGGAUCGCUUGUUGUACCUACAUAGAAGCAAGCAUGAACUUCGCGGGAACCGGCAACGCUUACUCCAACUCCAAACGAGUUCUUAUGUAAUCGAGUAAAAGACAGGGCUCUCUAACUGAUAAACGUUAUUCUCCACCGAUUAGUUGGCGGUGCUCAUUUUUAGAUUUGUGGCAAUAUAUUAAAAGGUUUAGAUAGCGACUUUAAGGGUUAUUAAUAUCGCGUUAGGUUAGGUUGGGUUAGGUUAGGUAAGGUUAGAUUAGGUUUGAUUGGGUGAGGUUAAGAUUUAAAAAAGUAGCACCGCCAACUAAUCGGUGGAGAAUAACGUUUACCCUCUCUAACUACGCCUUUUCUCAUAUUGCCGGGAACGCUCACUUUAUCGCACACCAGGGGUGCGAUAAUGGUGGCUAAAGUCUUUUUUUUUUCUUAAAAAAGUUCGAUCUAUUUGAGAUGUUUCGUAAUAUUUCCAUGUCAUUCUCUAUCUCGACGAUUUUUUCUCCAAAUGGACCUUUUUAGACAAAUUUUCGAGAUGAGUGAAUAAAAUAGGAAAAUACAUAUCUCGUGGUAUAAUGUAAAGAUUUCAGUGCAGAGAAUUCCAAAGCAUUUUCAAUCGUCCAUUGAUUUGGGAGUCCUGACGAAUUGAACUCCAUGAAUUGACUUGAGCUUUUUGCAUCAUCUGCGUCGCAAUUUCUGUCGAUGCCCGUCGGUGGCUAAAGAAUUGGGUCUCCACGUGGGAUGAACAUUUUUCUUUUACUUCAACACCGAAAAUUGAACGGAGUGGGCCAAGGAUGGGGCGAAGCAAAAGAACCGAUUGAAAGUGGGCCACAAUUGCUGACACGGCAAUGCACGCUUGUAUUCUGGGAAUAUCCUAAGUUUGAAGUGGCAAUUGCGCCCAAAGAUGGUUCCUAAUUAAAAGUUUCAUUUCUGAGUAUGGAUUGCAAUAAAACAUGUGUCGAUAA